rnacentral:tRNA from 1 species
AGGGACUUAUGUUAAUGCUAGACAAAGAGCCUUCAAAGCUCUAAGUGGGGGUUAAAAUCCCUCAGCCCCUG